AUGCCGUGAUGAAAUCUUUUUGUGUUCCAGAGAUGAGUCUUUUGAGCUCGUCUUUGAUGGUAACACAACCCUCUAAGAAGUUCUGAGCUG